UUGACCUUCAAUUUCUGGCGAACACGAGAAGAGGCUGCCGCGACUUCUUCGGAGAAAAGGAGAGAAAUCGGGCUCGAAGAUCACCGGUGGAGGGUCUUGAGAGAGGGAGAGACUUAUUUAUAGGGGAUCCUAGAGUUCUAAAAGGCCUAGAGUUCUUCUCCGAUCGGGAUUCAUCGGAGAAGAAGACUCCUUUCGGGAGUCCUCCU
rnacentral:lncRNA from 1 species